rnacentral:rRNA from 1 species
AUUGAACGCUGGCGGCAGGCCUAACACAUGCAAGUCGAACGAGUGGCGGACGGGUGAGUAGUGUCUGGGAAACUCCCUGAUGGAGGGGGAUAACUACUGGAAACGGUAGCUAAUACCGCAUACCAUCAGAUGUGCCCAGAUGGGAUUAGCUAGUGGGUGGGGUAAGGGCUCACCAAGGCGACGAUCCCUAGCUGGUCUGAGAGGAUGACGAGCAAAACUGGAACUGAGACACGGUCCAGACUCCUACGGGAGGAAGCAGUGGGGAAUAUUGCACAAUGGGCGCAAGCCUGAUGCAGCCAUGCCGGGUGUGUGAAGAAGGCCUCCGGGUUGUAAAGUACUUUCAUCGAGGAGGCGGUACCCGCAGAAGAAGCAACGGCUAACUCCGUGCCAGCAGCCGCGGUAAUUC